rnacentral:lncRNA from 1 species
UGGAAUAGAGAAGGCUCACCAUUGCACAAUCUGAUCUGCUGUCUAAAUUAUCUACUGCUUAUCUGGACCUCUAGACUGAGCCUCAGAACCAGAGAGGUAAGGGAGAGGGGUCAAUACAGAUGUACUGGUACACAGAGCAAAUCCAAAAUAAUCAUUUAUAUUCAACAUAUAUGAGAGCAAUUUAAAGCAGUUCAUAAAUAUAUCAUAAAGUAAAAAAAUC